CCUGCCCGCCGCUCGAAUCGAACUGAAAACCGAACAAAAACUGAAACCAGAAAUUUGCUGCUGGAUCGAGAUUCCCGUUCCCGUUCCCACAAAAUGGACACAGUGCUCCCCCCCAAAAAAGAAAACCGGUCGGGGGCUCACUGGCCGAAUUUGAAAGCGAGACUGUGGCACAUUGUUUAUGCCACACAGUGCUUUUUGAUGGGGGCAAUAUUAAUGGCUGGCAGCUGCAUUCUGCUGCUUCUCCAAAUGUCAACCGGAAAUGGGAGCCAACUUAAGUCCACAAGUCGUGCCGCAAACAUUUCCUUGGCGGCAAUUACAAACGAGCGUCGAUAGUAAGAAACAAACAUUUAUACGAAACAAGGUGGACUCACACUCUCGAUGGUGCACUCUACGGCGGAGAAUACACAUCCGAUCAGCGCGAAAUUCUUCGCAUACGAGUGGGUGGUGGCCCGCAUUUCACGGAAUACCUCUCGGGCCGUCUGCUUUUUCUCAUUCGCAAAGGGAUCGGCCAUGCUGGGAUUCACGGAGGCGCUGAACAAGCCCAAGGCUGCUCCCAAGCCGUAGCCUGCAAUGAGAAUUGGAUUUAUUGAUGAAUUGGAACCCACCCAUCACACAGGCCAUGGCGCACUUGAAGCCGCAGCUCUCCACCGCCG